rnacentral:rRNA from 1 species
AUGAAGCGCCUCUUCAGACGCCUCUCCCGCGUCGCCGCGGCCGACUCCUCCUCCGCGGCCGCCGCCACGCAGGCCGCGUCGGCGGCCGGCGGCGCCAAGGUGCCGCAGGGGCACGUGCCGGUGUGCGUCGGCGAGGAGGGCGGGCCCGUGGAGCGGUUCGCGGUGCGCGCGGACCUGCUGGGCCGGCCGGCCUUCGCGGCGCUGCUCCUCCGCGCCGCCCAGGAGUACGGGUACGGCCACCCCGGCGCGCUCCGCAUCCCCUGCCCCGUCGCCGACUUCCGCCGCCUCCUCGUCCGCCUCUCCGACGACCCCUACGCCGACGAGUGCUAG